rnacentral:lncRNA from 1 species
GUUUCAGCUGACCGUGCAAGGCAGCCCAGAGGCCCAGGCUGCCCCCGCCGGCUGCCCACAGGAGAAGGAGCUGGAAGAAGAGCGCGGGGGCAUCAGGAGCAGCAAAGAGCAGCGUCCUGACAAGCUCCUGCAGCAGCACGAAGAGCUUUCUCUCCCCAUGCUGCCAAACUGGGGGAAGGCGCGAGGUGGCAAGGCAUGGAGAGCAAGCCUCCUGCCAGGUGAGAGCCUUGGGGGAAGGGCUGAGGGGGACACUUGUACCUGCGCAGGGGACACGUCCCCCUUUGGGCACACCGGCCCGAGGGACUGAGAAAGCCUCCUGACACACGCCCCAGCAAAGGCUGCCCGCUUGCUGGAUGGCAAGCAUGCGCAGCUUUGCGGGAGAGCCUCAUGUUGCCUUCGUUUUCUUGCAGUGUCCCAACCUUUUGGGGAGCUGAAUGCAAAUCUGCAGUAGCAAACACCUCCUGCCCUUGUCCUAACGCACCCUGUGCUGUCUCCUCAGGAUCCUUAGGAAGCAGGCAGCCCCCAUCCUGGGCACCUCCCUGGGGAACGAGGUUGACAUUCAAUACCUCGAGGCUGCAUCCUCCCACUGGACCUCAGAGCAGCCGUGCUGCCACCACUCUCAGGGGUGCAGCACAGAGCUUCGGAAGAGCUACCCACUUCUCCCCCUUGAAAGAGAAACAGAGGCAGCACCAAGCACCGUGGGAUGAACAGCAGGCUGCACUGGAGAAACACGUGCKGCGUCAGGCCCAGAUCAUGCUGCUGGAGAAGCAACUCGACCUCGAGCAGCACCGUUACCCAGACACUGACAUGCUGGGGAGGCCCCCACAAAGGCAAGCGUCCCUGCAAGCAAAGCAGAACAUGCAGCUUAUGACUUCCUACAAAGUUCUUCGGGACAGAUGGAAGGAAAGGGUGGAACAAAACUGACAGAGGCUGAAGAAGGAGGAGGAGGAGCGCCGGUAAAUCCCUCGCAACCCAGCAACGUCUCAAGUGGCGCAACAUCUUCCUGCUGAACCCUGCAGUGCUUUGGUGAUGUGCUGCCUCCGCAACAGAGAGCAGCAGGACCGCAUGCUGGGCAGUUACCACUGAAAUGGCUUUUAUCCAUGGGAAUAAACGGCCUUUCCGAGUUGG